AUUGAACGCUGGCGGCAUGCCUUACACAUGCAAGUCGAACGGCAGCACGGGAGCAAUCCUGGUGGCGAGUGGCGAACGGGUGAGUAAUAUAUCGGAACGUGCCCAGUCGUGGGGGAUAACGUAGCGAAAGCUACGCUAAUACCGCAUACGAUCUAUGGAUGAAAGCGGGGAAUCGCAAGACCUCGCGCGAGUGGAGCGGCCGAUAUCAGAUUAGGUAGUUGGUGAGGUAAAGGCUCACCAAGCCGACGAUCUGUAGCUGGUCUGAGAGGACGACCAGCCACACUGGGACUGAGACACGGCCCAGACUCCUACGGGAGGCAGCAGUGGGGAAUUUUGGACAAUGGGCGCAAGCCUGAUCCAGCAAUGCCGCGUGCAGGAUGAAGGCCUUCGGGUUGUAAACUGCUUUUGUACGGAACGAAACGGCGAGCUCUAAUACAGUUUGCUAAUGACGGUACCGUAAGAAUAAGCACCGGCUAACUACGUGCCAGCAGCCGCGGAA
rnacentral:rRNA from 1 species